GAUUAACGCUGGCGGCGUGCCUAACACAUGCAAGUCGAGCGGCAGCGAGUUUUACACUGAAUUCUGGAAGCUUCUAGUUGAAAGAGAAGAUUUAUUCAAGAAUUUUGUGUAAAAUGUCGGCGAGCGGCGGACGGCUGAGUAACGCGUGGGAACGUACCCCAAAGCGAGGGAUAACGCAUCGAAAGGCGUGCUAAUACCGCAUAUGGUCUUCGGAUUAAAGCCUUCGGGCGCUUUGGGAACGGCCUGCGUAAGAUUAGAUAGUUGGUGGGGUAAUGGCCUACCAAGUCGACGAUCUUUAACUGGUUUGAGAGGAUGAUCAGUCAGACUGGAACUGAGACACGGUCCAGACUCCUACGGGAGGCAGCAGUGAGGAAUCUUCCACAAUGGGCGAAAGCCUGAUGGAGCAACGCCGCGUGCAGGAUGAAGGCCUUCGGGUUGUAAACUGCUUUUAUAAGUGAGGAUUAUGACAGUAACUGAUGAAUAAGGAUCGGCUAACUACGUG
rnacentral:rRNA from 1 species